UCGAACGAGGUGCUUUUUGUAGCAAUACGAGGAGUAUCCUAGUGGCGAACGGGUGAGUAACGCGUGGGUGACCUACCCCAAAGUGUGGAAUAACAGUCCGAAAGGAUUGCUAAUGCCGCAUGUGGUCUGCGAGUUUAGAAAUCGUUGACUAAAGGAGCAAUUCGCUUUGGGAGGGACCUGCGUCCCAUCAGCUAGUUGGUGAGGUAACGGCUCACCAAGGCUACGACGGGUAGGGGACCUGAGAGGGUGGCCCCCCACAAUGGAACUGAAACACGGUCCAUACACCUACGGGUGGCAGCAGUAGGGAAUAUUGCACAAUGGGCGAAAGCCUGAUGCAGCAACGCCGCGUGCGCGAUGAAGGUCUUCGGAUCGUAAAGCGCUUUUCUGAGAGAUGAGAAAGGACAGUAUCUCAGGAAUAAGUCUCGGCUAACUACGUGCCAGCAGCCGCGGUAAAACGUAGGAGGCGAGCGUUAUCCGGAUUCACUGGGCGUUAAGCGCGUGCAGGUGGUUCGGUAAGUUGGGCGUGAAAUCUCCCGGCUCAACUGGGAGAGGUCGUUCAAUACUACCGGACUUGAGAGCAGAAGAGGAAGAUGGAAUUCCCGGUGUAGUGGUGAAAUGCGUAGAUAUCGGGAGGAACACCAGUGGCGAAGGCGAUCUUCUGGUCUGUUUCUGACACUCAGACGCGACAGCUAGGGUAGUAAACGGGAUUAGAGACCCCGGUAAUCCUAGCCGUAAACGAUGUGAACUUGGCGUUGGUGGGUUAAACUCCAUCAGUGCCGAAGCAAACGCGAUAAGUUCACCGCCUGGGGACUACGGCCGCAAGGUUAAAA
rnacentral:rRNA from 1 species